CCUACGGGUGGCAGCAGCGGGGAAUAUUGGACAAUGGGCGAAAGCCUGAUCCAGCCAUGCCGCGUGUGUGAAGAAGGCCUUCGGGUUGUAAAGCACUUUCAGUGGGGAAGAAAGCCUUGGGGCUAAUACCCUCGAGGAAGGACAUCACCCACAGAAGAAGCACCGGCUAACUCCGUGCCAGCAGCCGCGGUAAUACGGAGGGUGCGAGCGUUAAUCGGAAUUACUGGGCGUAAAGCGCGCGUAGGCGGUCUGAUAAGCCGGUUGUGAAAGCCCCGGGCUCAACCUGGGAACGGCAUCCGGAACUGUCAGGCUAGAGUGCAGGAGAGGAAGGUAGAAUUCCCGGUGUAGCGGUGAAAUGCGUAGAGAUCGGGAGGAAUACCAGUGGCGAAGGCGGCCUUCUGGACUGACACUGACGCUGAGGUGCGAAAGCGUGGGUAGCAAACAGGAUUAGAUACCCCUGUAGUC
rnacentral:rRNA from 1 species